CUAGCAGUAGCUAUACCUUCAGUAGAUCUUAAGCUUGGAGUAGAAUUUGUGUUUGCUGCACUGAGCUAAGAUGGCCUCCUCUUCCAAGGCUGCAGCAUUUGCUGCACUGCUCUUCUCCCUCCUUGUCACGUAUGGCUCGUGCACUCGGCCGGUGAACUUUAACGAGUCGGACUUCACCGCCGACCCCAACUGGGAGGCCGCCAGGGCCACCUGGUAUGGGGCACCCACCGGCGCCGGUCCUGACGACGACGGUACGUAAUUCUCGGUCAUGGCUACGUAUGGGUAUUGGCGUAUUGCUGAAUGCCGCAUUUUUGGACGAUUAAUAAACUAACUCUGCAUGCAUGCCCUUGGCGACCCAUCUUUUUUUGUGCAGGUGGCGCCUGCGGGUUCAAGAACGUGAACCUGCCACCGUUCUCGGCGAUGACGUCCUGCGGCAACGAGCCACUGUUCAAGGACGGCAAGGGCUGCGGCUCCUGCUACCAGGUACGUAGACUUUUCCGUCUCUGCCGUGUCGUGGAAAACAGGAAAAGGAUACCGAUCCGAAAGCUUAUUUGAGGUACAUGCAGUUGUUGUUUUCACUAACUCCAUUUGUUGCUCCUCUUCUUCAGAUACGAUGCACCAACCACGCUGCGUGCUCCGGCAACCCGGAGACGGUGAUAAUCACCGACAUGAACUACUACCCCGUCGCCAAGUACCACUUCGACCUCAGCGGCACGGCCUUCGGCGCCAUGGCCAAGCCAGGCCGCAACGAUGAGCUCCGCCAUGCCGGCAUCAUCGACAUCCAAUUCAAGAGGUGGGUACCAUGCAUUGCUGCUCGUUGCACAGAGCCGCAGAACAGAAUCAUUAGCUCGACCGUCUAGCUUACCUGUUCUGUGGAGCCCUUGUACUUUUGCUCAACCGAUUUUGACGACACGACAGCCAGUUUUAAAUGGGGGGCUGGGGCCCACGUAGAUUCGCAGAAAUAUUUAGUACCAGUACUUCCAAUUCACUCCGAAUUUGGAGUCUGCAUGCACUGUGGAUCGACAAAGGUUGCUUAAUUUGAAGCCUAAUCCAUGUCCAAACGCACCACAUGGCUUGUUCCUGCAGGGUGCCCUGCAACUACCCCGGCCAGAAGGUGACGUUCCACGUCGAGGAGGGCUCGAACGCCGUCUACUUGGCGGUGCUCGUCGAGUUCGAAGACGGCGACGGCGAUGUGGUGCAGGUGGACCUCAUGGAAGCCAACUCUGGGUCAUGGACUCCGAUGCGCGAGUCCUGGGGAUCCAUCUGGAGGCUGGACUCCAACCACCGGCUGCAGGCGCCCUUCUCAGUGCGCAUCACCAACGAGUCCGGCAGGAUGCUGGUGGCCAACCAGGUCAUCCCGGCCAACUGGGUGCCCAACACCUAUUACCGCUCCAUCAUCCAGUACUAGCUCAUGCAUGAUCUGGUUCUGCCAACAAUAAUUCGGUCACUGAUAGAUUUUCGAUUCAUUUGGU
rnacentral:lncRNA from 1 species